GACAGAGGGUGCAAACGUUGUUCGGAAUUACUGGGCGUAAAGCGCGUGUAGGCUGCUCGGAAAGUCGGAUGUGAAAGCCCUGGGCUCAACCUAGGAAGUGCAUUCGAAACUUCCGAGCUGGAGUUCCGGAGAGGAAGGCGGAAUCCUCGGUGUAGAGGUGAAAUUCGUAGAUAUCGAGAGGAACACCGGUGGCGAAGGCGGCCUUCUGGACGGAAACUGACGCUGAGACGCGAAAGCGUGGGGAGCAAACAGG
rnacentral:rRNA from 1 species